rnacentral:rRNA from 1 species
CCUACGGGAGGCAGCAGUGGGGAAUAUUGGGCAAUGGGCGAAAGCCUGACCCAGCAACGCCGCGUGAAGGAAGAAGUCUUUCGGUUUGUAAACUUCUUUUGACAGGGAAGAGCAGAACACUCUAUCUGUCGAAUAAGCCACCGCUAACUACGGGCCAGCAGCCGCGGUAAUACGUAGGUGGCACGCGUUGUCCGUAUGUACGGGGUGUAAAGGGCGUGUAGCCGGGCUGACAAGUCAGAUGUGAAAUCCGGGGGCUCAACCCCCGCACUGCAUUUGAAACUGUUGGUCUGGAGUAUCGGAGAGGCAGGCGGAAUUCCUAGUGUAGCGGUGAAAUGCGUAGAUAUUAGGAGGAACACCAGUGGCGAAGGCGGCCUGCUGGACGACAACUGACGGUGAGGCGCGAAAGCGUGGGGAGCAAACAGGGUUAGAUACCCGAGUAGUC